AUGCCGCCGUGCCCGCCACUAGCUGUAUCCGCGUCGAGCAACACCAGCAACAACUGCUGGGUGUACGUGACGACGUCUAUGCACACAUACUUCCAAGUGAACACGCGAUAUAUACAGCACAACAGUAUAAGUAGAGCCCUCGAAAAAGAAAACAGUAUAUGUAGACGGGGUAUGACUGAUAAUAUCGAUAUAGGUUAUUCUACAAGAUUACUCUAUAGAUCCAUCAGCUCUAAGUAA
rnacentral:rRNA from 1 species